AUUGAACGCUGGCGGCAGGCCUAACACAUGCAAGUCGAGCGGAGCGGCGGACGGGAGAGUAAUGCCUAGGAAUCUGCCUGGUAGUGGGGGAUACCGUCCGGAAACGGGCGCUAAUACCGAAUACUAUCAUAUGAGCCUAGCGCGGAUUAGAUAGUUGGUGGGGUAAAGGCCUACCAAGGCGACGAUCCGUAACGGGUCUGCGAGUAUGAUCAGUCACACUGGAACUGAGAUAAGGGCAAGACGCCGACGGUAGGAAGCAGUGGGGAAUAUUGGACAAUGGGCGAAAGCCUGAUCCAGCCAUGCCGCGUGUGUGAAGAAGGUCUUCGGAUUGUAAAGCACUUUAAGUUGGGAGGCGUUACCAACAGAAUAAGCACCGGCGAACUUCGUGCCAGCAGCCGCGGUAAUAC
rnacentral:rRNA from 1 species